CGGAACCCCGAGAUGGUACUGAGCACGGACCCAGCCCUUACGAGGCGCAGCAGGCGCGAAACCUCANNNAUACACGAAAGUGUGAUGGGGUAACCCAAAGUGUUCAAUAUUGAACUGUGGUAGGUGAGUAAUGUUCCCUACUAGAAAGGAGAGGGCAAGGCUGGUGCCAGCCGCCGCGGUAAAACCAGCUCUUCAAGUUGUCGGGAUAAUUAUUGGGCUUAAAGUGUCCGUAGCUGGUUUAGUAAGUUCCUGGUAAAAUCGGGUAGCUUAACUAUUUGUAUGCUAGGAAUACUGCUAUACUAGAGGGCGGGAGAGGUCUGAGGUACUACAAGGGUAGGGGUGAAAUCUUAUAAUCCUUGUAGGACCACCAGUGGCGAAGGCGUCAGACUGGAACGCGCCUGACAGUGAGGGACGAAAGCCAGGGGAGCGAACCGGAUUAGAUACCCGGGUAGUCCUGGCUGUAAACGAUGCGGGCUAGGUGUUGACCCGGCUACGAGCCGGGGCAGUGCCGAAGAGAAGUCGUUAAGCCCGCCGCCUGGG
rnacentral:rRNA from 1 species